GUCGUUAAACCACUUUUGCAGCAGCUACACGUGAAUACAUCAAUCAUCAUAAUCCAAUAAUGUAAUAUCCAAGAACAUCAUUCAGAAAUAUGCCAUUCUGUAUAAUGAGUCCUCAUGUUUUAAUCUUACCAUAUGUGUUUCUACAUCUGAAAUGCCGUUUUACCGUAUGUUUUAAUCUUAUUUGAUUUGUCACGUAUGGUCUUUGCUACUAUGAUACUUUUCAUGCUUUUAUUUUGAAGCACACUGAGUUACAAAAAAGCAUGAAUUUUACUUUGGAUACUUUGAGAACGUUUUGGUGCUAAUUCUUUUCCAGUUUUACGUUUGUUAAACAUUUCAGCGUAAGACCUUUCGUUCUAACAGAGUAUUUCUACACUGUGGUAUUGUUACGUUUACAGUACACAUCUGAGUACUUUUCCCAACCACGUCAGAGGCUCAUCACAGGCUGUUCAGGUCAGCUUGAACGCAUCCCCGGUCAAACAGCGCCACCGUGUGGCCAGGUGCUGUAGUGGCAGCCUCACGAGUUAAUGUAUCAUUUAUUAAACCUUCUCAUAUAACUGCAUGGUGGUGCGUUUACUGUUCCAUCUGAUACAAAAACUCAUGAUUUCCUGUCAUCCUGGUACUUAGUGGUUUUCAACGUUGGUAAUGUACUACUUAUAAUACCUACUCCUUUUCUCCUUCCAAAACACAGUGGAAUUACAUUAGUUUGUUUGUUGUGAAAUGUAACUGAGGGUGGACUAGUUUCUCCCCCCCCCCGAGGCGGAGGGAGAGAGGGUGAGGGAGGUGGGAGAAAAGGCGUGUCCCAGGGAACCAGAUACUCCUGAAGAGCUCUUACGGAUCCUUUACGCUCGUGCGGUGGGAAAUAUCGACCAGGCAUUUUGUAGUUCUUUUACGAUUUAACUGGUCAAUUUUAGCCCAAGUUCGGAUAGAAGUCAGACUUGUAGACUCCCUGUCCGUUGAUGUAGACCGGCCUCAGCCCACAUUGAGUUCCUCUGCACAUGGAGACUUUCAGGAUGACCCAGCGGACGUCUUACUAGAAUUAUCUGUGCCGGGAGACGCAGCCCGUUCGGUGUGAUGAAGGAUCGACUGGCUGAACUGGCCGCUAGUAGGACGCAAGCAGAGGAGGAUGUUGCAGUCGCAGUGGACAGAGAUGGCUUCAUGGAGAGCUUCUUCAGGAGGGUGGAGGAAGUCCGAGGGCUCAUUGACAAGAUCUCCCACCAGGUGGAGGAGGUGAGGAAGAUGCACAGCAUGAUCCUGUCUGCGCCCAACCCAGAUGACAGAACAAAGGAUCAACUGGGCGCGCUGACCAAUGACAUCAAGGGGAACGCCAACGUGGUGCGGACCAAGCUGAAAUCCAUGGAGCAGAGCAUGCCCAAAGAUGACGUGGUGAGCAGAUCCUCUGUCGACUUCAGGAUCCAGAAAACACAGCACACGGUGUUGUCCAGGAAGUUUGUGGAGGUCAUGACCCACUACAACGAGACUCAAGUGUCCUUUCGGGAAAGAAGCAAAGGAAGGAUCCAGAGACAGCUGGAGAUAACUGGAAGAGUGACCACCAGUGAAGAGCUGGAAGACAUGUUGGAAAGUGGAAAUCCAUCCAUCUUCACGUCUGACAUCAUUUCAGACUCCCAGAUCACACGUCAGGCCCUAAAUGAAAUAGAGUCUCGACACCAGGACAUCAUGCGUCUGGAGUCGAGCAUCAGAGAGCUCCAUGCGAUGUUCAUGGACAUGGCAAUGCUGGUAGAAACUCAGGGAGAUAUGGUUAACAACAUUGAGAAGAACGUCUCCAACGCAGCUGAAUACAUUUUUAGUGCAAAGGAAGAGACCAAAAAAGCAGUGAGAUACCAGAAAAAAUCCCGGAGGAAAUACAUUAUCCUUGCCUUUGCACUGUUGAUCCUGCUUGCUGUCAUUGCACUAAUUGUGGGCCUGUCUGUUGGACUAACCAAACGGCCUGUAUGAGAACUGCUGAGUUUGCUGCGUGAGGUAACGCUUCACCCAACUCCAACUCCCAUUCCUGAAACACAACAAUCCUCCAUCCAGUCAUCUACAUAUCCAUGAAUUAAUUGAAACUUCUCUGCCUUGCGAUGUGUGGAGUCGCGGGUUUCCUCCUUCUACUCAUCAUAUUAGUUGGACUGUUUGGGUGACGGGUGUCGCGGUUCACAGCCUCACAGCAUUCAGCUUCUUAAUAAGUCAUUCACUCUCCUGAACAGCAUUACAGAGAGGAUCUCUUGGACACAGUAAAUCAACGUGGGGGAUCCACUUUGCACCGCUAACACCAGACCUCAUGACACACUGUCCUGGAGCAACUACACAUAAACAUAAUGAACACUGACAGCACAUCACAUUCAUUUAGAGGUGCACCGAUGGCAGUUUUCUUUGCCGGUUCUGAUUUCCGAUUUUUUUUUUUUUGUAAGCGUGACCUGCCAAUACUGAUUAUAAGAGCUAAGAAACAUGUCAGUUACUUAUAUCAUUUUACAGUAUGCUAAUAACUUCACCAGAGCUGCGGCAAUUUAUCAGAUUUCUGAAGCCUCUGUUCUCAACUAUGGACAACAGCUGAUCAUCCAGGGUCAUGGAUUCCAUAAUUUUCCUUCUAAUUGCUUUGGUCUUUUCACUGCUCACACCAGGGAGGGAUUGGAGAGGCCAUCUGGCUUUUGUCUGGCACUUAGCUCAGGCUGCUUUUAGCUUUAGCCGCUUUUUCAUUUGCUAGCUUCUUCAAACUGAGCAUGCUCAGCUGGGUGAAGGUGUUUCAAGUGUCUGAUUGGGCUUGUUGUUCCGAAUGUUUUCGUGGCUGUCCCCCACGGUUUAUUUUGGCCUUAUGCGUAUUAUGAAUUGUGAGCUUUGUGUUUCUUCUUCACUCACGGUGAAAAACUUCCAUGCUAAAGACAUGUUGAACAUACACAAAAUGGACCAGCUUGGAGUCAGAGAUGUGGGAGACUGGCUGGUCUCCGGUCCGAGCCGAACAUGCUGGAAACCGGCACACUAGAGUACCUGACCAGUCGAUCGGUGCAUCUCUUCAUUUAUAUGCGGGUGUAUGUUCUGGACUGUCGCUGUUUUUUUUGUUUUUUUUUUUUCAUUUUGGGUUUCACUUUGUUGGUCUAAUGCCUUUAAAGGGACAGUCUGACAUUUUGAGAUAAACUAAUGAGCCUUUCUCUUGAGGGUUAGAAGAGAAGACUCACUCUGACUCUCAAGUGUGUGUGGUAAAUAUGAAAGUAUCAUCAGCGGCCAGGCAGCUUAGCUUAGCAUGAAGACUGAAAACAGGAAAAUAUCCAAAAUGACCUUAAGAAUUAACGGUGGGUCAUGUGACUAUUUCUUGGCCAGGCGCACAGGCGAGAGGUGAGAAAGUCCACACUCUUGUCAUUGUGAGGUCUCCAGGUAGCUAGUGGAGGAUCCAUGAAGUCUAGUUUGUCAUUUAUACACUCCAGGUUGUGUACAGAUUAAACAAAGAAGAUGUAAUGUGGAAGGCCGACUUUGUAAGCCUUGGGCAGAACCAGGCUAGCUCCUUCUCCCUGUUUCCCGUCUUUACGCUAAGCUAGGCUAACCAUCUGCUAUUCGUAGCUUCCUUUUAGCUUCCAGAUGUGAGAGUGGUAUCAGUCCUCUCGUCUGACUGUUGUUCAAAUAGGUGUUUUUUUGCCCAAAAUGUCAAACCGUUGAUUUAAUAUUCAAAAUAUGUUGUGAUGAUUGUAAUUCUCUUCAUAAACUGAUUGUAUAAUUUGUGUUUACAAGUUCAAGUGCCCUCAUGUCCUUUUCACUGUAAGAACCGAAUGUAAAACUGCUACAGCUCAGGAGUAUCUAAAUAUAAAAAUUAUAUUCACUGUAAAAACUCCAUUUGUGUCUCAGUCAGAAGAAAUAUUUUUAGAUCACUUACAAAAGUGCCUUCUUGACAACACCGAAUAUAAAACUGUAACUUAUUGAACUGUGUUUGUCGCGAUGAUGGUGUGUGAUGAUAUAUUGAAAUAUUAGUUGUGAAAAAAGUCGUGCUGCAACGUAGGACUCUUGGAUGAUGUUAUUUCAAGAGCACACUUUUUCAUUUUGAUACAUUUGACUCUUUCAUUUUGUAAUCUAUAUAUCAUAUUUUAUAUUGAACCAUAAUAACUAAGUAAUGUAAUUAAAAAAUAAAACACAAAAGGUCUUUGCAGAA